AGCGAACGUUGGCGGCAGGCCUAAACAUGCAAGUCGAACGCCGUAGCAAUACGGAGUGGCAGACGGGUGAGUAACGCGUGGGAACGUACCCUUUGGUUCGGAACAACACAGGGAAACUUGUGCUAAUACCGGAUAAGCCCUUACGGGGAAAGAUUUAUCGCCAAAGGAUCGGCCCGCGUCUGAUUAGCUUGUUGGUGAGGUAACGGCUCACCAAGGCUACGAUCAGUAGCUGGUCUGAGAGGANGAUCAGCCACACUGGGACGUGAGACACCGGCCCAGACUCCUACGGGGAGGCAGCAGUUAGGAAUCUUGGACAAUGGGCGGCAAGCCUGAUCCA
rnacentral:rRNA from 1 species